CUGGACCUUGCAGCGAGUAGCAUGCCCGGAGAUCUUAGCCAGUGGAUAAUGAAGCAUUACGACCCUAAGAUUUCGCAGAUAGUCAUUCCAGAAAGGGAGAUUCCUGUAGAUGCCGCAAGUGUCCGUAGGAUAUGGGGUUUGCCAAAUAGGGGCAGGAAGGUGUGCUUCGAGAAUCGUCCUGAAAUCACAAAGGCAAUGUACAGUAUUUAUAAUAUCACAUCCAAGGACUCCCCAACUCUCACAGAAUGGUGCAAGAUGAUCAUAGACAUGGGAGGAUCUUAUGAUGAUGACUUUGUCCGCGCUUGGCUAGCUCUUGUUUUUUCGUGCUUCCUUGCCUCUUCAACUAGUUUAAGUAUUUCCCCAAAAAGCUUCCCGGCGGUCAUGAAUGUCAAUGGAAUAACGGAAACCAAUAUAUGUCAGUUUGUUGUUGAUCAACUAAAGCUUGCGUUCACUUCGGGGCGUGGCAACAAGAAGGUUGUUUGUUGUUGUGUUUUCCACCUCGUUAUAAGUGCUUCAAGUUGUCUUGCUUUCUUAAGCAUCCAUAUUGUUUUCUUUUUUUUUUCUUAA
rnacentral:rRNA from 1 species